UACAGAGGUCUCAAGCGUUGUUCGGAUUCAUUGGGCGUAAAGGGUGCGUAGGCGGCGCGGAAAGUCGGGUGUGAAAUUUCGGAGCUUAACUCCGAAACUGCAUUCGAUACUCCCGUGCUUGAGGACUGGAGAGGAGACUGGAAUUUACGGUGUAGCAGUGAAAUGCGUAGAGAUCGUAAGGAAGACCAGUGGCGAAGGCGGGUCUCUGGACAGUUCCUGACGCUGAGGUGCGAAAGCGUGGGGAGCAAACAGG
rnacentral:rRNA from 1 species